CCGAAGUUGGACGUUCAAUCGACUGAGCCACCCAGGCGCCCCUAAACCAGGAGCCUUUUUAAUAUAGAGUCCUCAUUUGGGGGAAGUUGGUGAUAUCAGAGGAGGACAUCACUUUGGAAAAUGAGUUGAAAGAAAAGAAAGAAAGAAAGAAAAUCGAGAAAGAGGAAUUCCUGAUAUUUUCAGAGGAAGAAAUACCUGAUUGCUGAAAACAGUCCAUAUCCUGAACAGUUUCCUAGAAAUGCAACUGGUUGAUUUUUAUAAGCCAUUCCAUGCAUCAGACAGCAAGUUCUGAUGCUUCCGAUUGCCCAAAGAGUGUCUAAUAACCCCAGCGUUACAUAUGCUCAACAUCAUGUGACCCUGGUUCUGCAAGAAAGAAUAAUCAUGCUGGUCAUACAGUUUAAGAAGACAAAGAAAUGUGUGCUCAUUUUGGAAAACUUAUCAUUUUCUGCAAAUCAGUAAGACAGAGACCCCAAUGGAAAAGGGGCCAAGAUACAAGAUCAAAAUUCACAGAAAGGAAAAAGUACAAAAAGCUAACAAGAAUAUGAAGAGAUGCUCAAACGCAUUAGUUGCCAGAAAGAUGGAACCUGGCAGCAAAGGUUCUUGGGGGGGGGUCUCAUCUGGUGCUGGAGAUGAUUGGCUCCCCCAGUCGGUAAGGAAGGGAUCCUCCUGACCCAGCACCUAGACCAACCUCUUUUGGAAGAGACGGAGCUUGAGAGGCAUCCUGUCCUCGUGCACAAUCAUGGUGCUAAUCAAUAAUGACCUUUAGGAUGAUCCACUGGCUUUGGAACAACUGCCUGGGACAUUUCCUUCCAGUAUCAGGUAUCUGUCUCCAGCAAACCUGUGCAAGCUGAGUAUCACCAUCUGGUCCUGGAUGCAUUUUGUUAUCAGUGCUGGAAGUGAUGAUACGGUAUGCCGCUGUCAUGUGCCCAGAGGAUGCAGGGGCCAGAGAGGACACUCAGAAGAAACUCUGCUACAGAAUUCUGCAUUUUCUCCAGCGGUACGAAGAGUGUGUUCACAGUUCCUGAUGACUGGUAGACAUCCCAGGGUGAGAAGUAUCUAGAAGACACAGUCAUGUGCACUUCACAGCUUGACUCUGGAGAGUGAUCUCUUCCAGGCCCUCUACUACAAGGGUAUUUUCUUUUUCUGUCACUGUCACCCCUCCAACAGCAGAAGUUUCUGGCUCACCCACCGGAGAGGCUAAAGCUUGCCUGGAAUUAUAUUGCUUACAGAAUAAAGAGAAGUCAGAGCCUCUUAUGUAACUUGAAGAGUAGGAAAGAUCCAGUGAUAAAAACCAGUGCCCUGAACUUUUGCAAAGCACGAUCAAUCGCUGCGUACGAUCCUCCGGUCCUUGGCAAGUGAGGCUGGAAAACAGAGCCAAGAUGCAAACUAUGAAUCAGCCGCUCAGCUUCACAUAACAGAUCAUGAACUGGGAGCUGUGUGGAAAGACAACCGGAUUGGGAGCUAGUGUCCUGCCCUGGGUUUCUUCCAGGUGACCCUACCACCCGUCAGCCAUCUGGUCUUGGUGGGGUGACUGGAAGGCUCCGAGUAGAAUUCUCUGAAGGGGCAUGCCUGUGUUGGCAGGGGAUGCUGGCUGUUGGCUGGGACUGAAGUUCAAUGGGGGUCAUUUGUCUCUCCAAGGUUCUGCAGGAAGGUGUGGGACUGGAAUAUUAAUGUGGCCAUUUUUGGAAAAAGACAAACUGCUCCAAGAAAUUCUCACCUUUUCCAUGUCAUCUGUACCAGCUGUAGCUGCAGAGAAAAUGUGAAAAGUGAGCCAGAUUCUCUCAGCUGCCCAGCUGCACAGAGUGAGCUGGGGACAGAGAGAGGGAGACACAGGAUCCGAAGGAGGUUCAAGGGUCUGCACCCGCAGCACAGAGCCCGACGCAGGGCUUGAACUCACCAACAGUGAGAUCAUGACCUGAGCUGAAGUUGGACGCUUAACUGACUGAGCCACCCGGGCACCCCAGAUAAUUCUGGUGCCUGUAAAGAGCCCAUCUCAUAAUGGGAACUGAAAAUGUCAGAUAACCUUGCAACAACGGAUGGAUACUUGACCUGGACUCUGCUAAUCAGACGCAUGUACUCCAUUCCCUAUGUCGUGAAGAAGGAAAAGACCAGAAUCUAUUCUGUUGACAGAUGGUCGCAGAGACCACGACCUGAAUGAGCAUUUCCAGCAUCCAUUGUUGGCACUCAAGGCACAACACCACGCACAGAACAUGGCUUCCCUGAAUGGUUGUACCUGGAUAUUUUUGAGCCCUGCUCUUUUCCUUGCAACCUCCGAGCUUCUACUUCUCUUGUCCUCACAGAGAUUCUUAGAUCUCUCCAGUACCUUUUGUGAUCAAUUCCUUUCCUGCCAACCCAUCACGUUUGGUUCCUGUAGCGUGUGCCUAAGAAGGUGGUCUGUGUGGGUCAGGACAGAACCAAGAAAACAGUCCUCUGCCUCUUGCAAGCAGUUGGGACUUAAUACAGAAGAUGAUGGAAGAUCUGGAAAGCCAACCAGGGAGCAAUGAGGUAACCCACAGAUCAGUAGCAUCUGGAAGCUACCAUCAACCCUGGAGCUGGAGGAACCAUGGAGGAAGGAAGGAGCUAGAACCACAGGACAGGAGCUACCCAGAGAGGUGACCAGUUGGGUCCCAAGACCUGAGGCCACACCAGGGAAAGAGCCAGAAAUAGACCUGAACGCCAACAGGCAAUUGCCAUGCACAAGUAAUGGGAGCUCACAUAAUUUUUGGCUGAACGAAGAGGGCCAGGACCAGAACCUUGUGUUAUACCAACUUUUAAAGGCUAGGGGAAUUAGGCCUUGGCCCCUAAGGAGAAGCAGUCCGAGAGCCAGGAGGACACUGAGGCAAGAGUAGCAUUCCCCAUGCCACAGCUCUGAAGCCAUCAAAUCUGCCAGACCCCUAACUGGAUUUCCACCAAACAGACCUCUGAAUUAUUCAUCAAGUCCAGACAAGAGACUCAGAGUGCUUAUCCAUGAGCUUCGGGUAUCAUAGCUUCUAAUCCAGGCUAUUCCCUGGGUAACCUGAGUUAUUAAGUAAGGAUCACAGUGCUUGCCAACUUUCACUGGGCAAGAUAAGAAGCAAUGCAUCAUGGAGAUUUUUAAAUAGCUUGGCAAGAUGGGGAAACACAUCACAGCAGGAACCUUAAUUGAUAAAGUAGAGACAAGUGCACUCAUUCUCACGGUUGGAAAUUACAGGACUGUCCUACUUGACUUCUGUGAGUGGAUGGAUUGCAACAUCUUUGUUAGUGGCUAAGCAGAAGACAAAACAAAGCUCUGUGUCUGGAUUUGGGAGAAGGAACGUAGUGUGAAGGAAAGAGCACCGUUUCAGAUCAGGAGAACUUCAUUUGAAUCUCACCUCCACUGCUCGUUAGCCUUGUGAUUUUAGAUGUUAUUUUCAACCAAGCAUUAGCCUUUUCUUGGUUAAAAGUGAUGAUGUGGGCCACUUAUCAUUCUGGGCACUUCAUAAAUAUUUGUUCCCAAAUCCCCCUUCUUUUUACCAUAACUCUAGCCUAGGAAGAAUUCUUUCUCCAAAAAAAUGGCUGGGAUGAAUCAUUUCAAUAGGAAAAAGUUUAAAACGAAUUAAAAUCCAAAACUCGGCACUCCUGGUUAUUAUCAAAAGCACCACUUUCCCUGGGCAGUCUACAUUCAAGGCUAUUUAGUCAGAAUUUCAGAUGGUCUAAAAAAAUUUUAUCUGUGCCUAUUUUUGUUUCUUGAAAGAAAAACCUCACUUCCCUUGCAUGCCAUCAAAUAUCAGUUCAUCUAUAUUUUGAAUGGGAUUUCAUCCUCCGUUGGUGCCUGGGUGUUUCUGUGACUUGAGCAAGGGGUCCCUGUGCCUUUAUCACCUGGUUUCUGCCUGACGUGGCUGGAAAGAUGAGCGCCUCCAGGCCCAUCACAAAGGAGCGGGGCCUCCACGGUGCAUUAGCAGCACCAAGGAGUAUUGCCAAGAUACAGCAUAAAAGACAAGAC